rnacentral:rRNA from 1 species
GCUAUCUGCAGUCGAGGGGCAGCACAGGGUAGCAAUACUGGGUGGCGACCGGCAAACGGGUGCGGAACACGUACGUAACCUUCCUCUAAAUGGAGCAUAGCCCGAAGAAAUUCGGAUUAAUACUCCAUAAGAUUGUAGAGUGGCAUCACUCAGCAAUUAAAGAAAUUCGUUUAGAGAUGGGCGUGCGGCUGAUUAGGUAGUUGGUGAGGUAACGGCUCACCAAGCCGACGAUCAGUAACUGGCGUGAGAGCGCGACCAGUCACACGGGCACUGAGACACGGGCCCGACUCCUACGGGAGGCAGCAGUAAGGAAUAUUGGUCAAUGGACGCAAGUCUGAACCAGCCAUGCCGCGUGAAGGAUGAAGGUCCUCUGGAUUGUAAACUUCUUUUAUAUGGGAAGAAACCACUUUUAUCUAAAGGUGUUGACGGUACCAUAGGAAUAAGCACCGGCUAACUCCGUGCCAGCAGCCGCGGUAAUACGGAGGGUGCAAGCGUUAUCCGGAUUCACUGGGUUUAAAGGGUGCGUAGGCGGAUUAGUAAGUCCGUGGUGAAAUCUCCGAGCUUAACUCGGAAACUGCCGUGGAUACUAUUAAUCUUGAAUGUUGUGGAGGUUAGCGGAAUAUGUCAUGUAGCGGUGAAAUGCUUAGAUAUGACAUAGAACACCAAUUGCGAAGGCAGCUGGCUACACAAAUAUUGACGCUGAGGCACGAAAGCGUGGGGAUCAAACAGGAUUAGAUACCCUGGUAGUCCACGCCCUAAACGAUGAUUACUCGACAUUUGCGAUAUACAGUAAGUGUCUGAGCGAAAGCAUUAAGUAAUCCACCUGGGAAGUACGACCGCAAGGUUGAAA